GAUGAAGAACGCAGCGAAAUGCGAUAAGUAAUGUGAAUUGCAGAAUUCAGUGAAUCAUCGAAUCUUUGAACGCACAUUGCGCCCCUUGGUAUUCCGAGGGGCAUGCCUGUUCGAGCGUCAUUAUAACCCCUCAAGCUCAGCUUGGUGUUGGGGCCUGCUGCACUGGCAGCCCUUAAAAUCAGUGGCGGCGCCAUCUGGCUCUAAGCGUAGUAAAUCUCCUCGCUAUAGGGUUCCGGAGGGAUGCUGGCCAACAACCCCCAACUUUUAAGGUUGACCUCGGAUCAGGUAGGGAUACCCGCUGAACUUAAGCAUAUCAAUAAGCGGAGGA
rnacentral:misc_RNA from 1 species